ensembl:snRNA U6 U6 spliceosomal RNA
GUGCUUGCUUCAGUAGCAUAUAAAGUAAAAUUGGAAUGAUACAGCGAAGAUUGGCAUGGUCCCUGUGCGAGGAUGACACACAGAUCCCCAAAACAUUUUAUAUUUUU